CGAGAGAGUCAGUACGACUCGUGACGUCCUCGACGUCAUUCGUUGAAAUAGUGGAACCCUAUCGAAUCUUCGUUUAAUCUUCGAGUGGAUUCGUCGAUUAAUUCGAUUCUUUUUUGUUUAUUAUUAUUAUUAUCAUCAUCUUAUCGAUACGCAUAUAUAAAAAGAAAAAAAAGUUUCCCGUUUAAUAUCAGCAUACGAUACUGAUAAUAAAAAAGGAACACCCUAGAAUAAUAAUAAGAAGAAGAAUAAUAAAUAAGAAGAAGAUUUGUGAGUGUCCUUGUUAUUUUGGGAUUUUAUAAUAAAUAGUGAGUGAUUUUAUUGGAAAAAGAAAUUAAAAAGAAAAAAAAUAGAUAAAUACAUAAAUAAAUGUAAAGUUACGUCGAUAAAAAAAUGUCGACGCCUUUAAAAGCCGAACCUACCGGCGG